rnacentral:rRNA from 1 species
AGCAGCCGCGGUAAUUCCAGCUCCAAUAGCGUAUAUUAAAGUUGUUGCAGUUAAAAAGCUCGUAGUUGAAUUUCGGGGUCAGUAGGCUGGUCGUGCCACAGGUAUGUACUGGUCUUACUGAUUCCUCCUUCCUGAUGAACCGUAAUGCCAUUAAUUUGGUGUUGCGGGGAAUCUGGACUGUUACUUUGAAAAAAUUAGAGUGUUUAAAGCAGGCUAACGCUUGAAUACAUUAGCAUGGAAUAAUGAAAUAGGACGAUCGAUCCUAUUUUGUUGGUUUCUAGGAUCGACGUAAUGAUUAAUAGGGAUAGUUGGGGGCAUUAGUAUUCAAUUGUCAGAGGUGAAAUUCUUGGAUUUAUUGAAGACUAACUACUGCGAAAGCAUUUGCCAAGGAUGUUUUCAUUAAUCAAGAACGAAAGUUAGGGGAUCGAAGACGAUCAGAUACCGUCGUAG